rnacentral:snoRNA from 1 species
AAGACUAUACUUUCAGGGAUCAUUUCUAUAGUUGUUUACUAGAAUACAAAUUAGAACAUUAACAACCACCUAUUUGAAAACAGGGUAUAACUGGUGCUUUAUCUUAGAACACCAGUGACCCAAGG